UUCCGUUCUCUCUCCAUCUCUGCUCUCUCCCUCCCCGCUGUCGCCGCCAACUCCCCUUCCCCCUCUCUGCCGGCGCUCCUCCUGCUCUCCUCCGCCGCCACCGCACCCGCAGGAUCCACGCCGCCCAUCUCCCCAACCCCUCCUCUCUCUCUCUACUCCGGCGGCGCCUCCUCUCUUUUCUCUCUCCCGGCGCCUUUUUCCCGGUGGCGUCUCUCUUCGCCCCUCACCCCUCCGCGCGCCACGGGCCGGCGUGGAACCGGCCGACCAGCUCGCAGCGCGGCCGGUAGCGGCAGCGCGCGGGAGACAGAGGCGCUGUCGGCCGCGCCACGCUUGCCUCCUAACCUAUGCCGCACGGCCUCCCCUCUGCCCUCCAUCGUCGGCAAAGGACAAGAAGCCGAGCUGAGCCGGUGGGCUCGCCGCUCUCGGCCGGCCGUACCUCCAUCGCCUCUCCCCGAUGGCGCUCCUCUGCUCUCCGGUCUCCACCGCCGCCUGCUCCCGCGGGAUCCAGAUCUGGCGCAGGGCGCCGCUCGGAGGGAGGGGGCAUGGGCAGCAUCCUGGGCACACGACGCCAACGAUUCCCUACUUGUCCCGCUCCUCCGACCAUGACGAGCUCCAAGACGCCUCCGCGCCGCCGCUACCACCACAGCACCCGCCACCCCCUCCGGUUACACCACGCCGCCCCCCGCACACCUCCUCAACGGGCUGACGAUGGCUUCGAUGCGCGGGCGGCGCUUGAGCGCGAGCACCGCCGUAGGUCGGACGGUGCGUAGCCGCAUCUGGUGAACAUGCAGUUCCAAAAGACGGUGCGCAGCCGCAUCUGGUGAACAUCCAGUUCCAGAAGAAGGUGCAGUUGGAGGUGCUUGCUUCACUUGUUGCGCUCUACUUGGAUUUCAAGCUCGGCUAGAGCUACACGCUGAGCAAGAUCUCCAUCUGGCCUGGGGAUGGCUUCCACAACCUCGAGCUUCGGAGGGAGAGGAUAGCUGAGAGGAUGAAGGUACGCGUUUGUUGCAGCUCUAGAGGGAGAGGAUAGCUGACAGGGUGAAGGUGUUGCAGGAGUUGGUCCCUAACGCCAACAAGCCUGGAGCGGCAGGCAGGCAAGGCAACAGGGGCACAAUACGUUGGGUUGGUCCUGGCUGGUGGCCAGAGGGCGGCGUUGGCAACAUGCUCCUGGUCGAGCUCGAGCUCCCGCCAACACACUGGAUAUGAGACACCUAUGAUGAGAUAGUGUACCCACAUUGUUCAAAUAUUAGCAUAUUAAUGAUGUAUGUAUUACCAUGUGCUAUGAUUUUGUGUUGAAUUUAUCAUAUACCAUGCACACCAUUUGCCAUUUCAUUACCUUUGGUUUACUUA